rnacentral:rRNA from 1 species
CUUCUUUCGGGAAGUGGAGAGUGGCGCACGGGUGAGUAACGCGUGGGAAUUUGCCUUUUGGUACGGGAUAACGUUUGGAAACGGACGCUAAUACCGUAUGUGAUCUACGGAUUAAAGAUUUAUCGCCAGAAGAGAAGCCCGCGUAGGAUUAGGUAGUUGGUGUGGUAACGGCGCACCAAGCCGACGAUCUUUAGCUGGUCUGAGAGGACGAUCAGCCACACUGGAACUGAGACACGGUCCAGACUCCUACGGGAGGCAGCAGUGGGGAAUAUUGGACAAUGGGGGCAACCCUGAUCCAGCCAUGCCGCGUGAGUGAAGAAGGCCUUAGGGUUGUAAAGCUCUUUCGCUAGGGAAGAUAAUGACGGUACCUAGUAAAGAAGUCCCGGCUAACUCCGUGCCAGCAGCCGCGGUAAUACGGAGGGGACUAGCGUUGUUCGGAAUUACUGGGCGUAAAGAGUACGUAGGCGGCUUGCCAAGUUGGGUGUGAAAGCCCGGGGCUCAACCCCGGAACUGCACUCAAAACUGGCUGGCUAGAGAUCGGAAGAGGUAAGUGGAAUUCCCAGUGUAGAGGUGAAAUUCGUAGAUAUUGGGAAGAACACCGGUGGCGAAGGCGGCUUACUGGUCCGAGACUGACGCUGAGGUACGAAAGCGUGGGGAGCAAACAGGAUUAGAUACCCUGGUAGUCCACGCCGUAAACGAUGAAUGCUAGUUGUUGGGAGGUUUACCUUUCAGUGACGCAGCUAACGCAUUAAGCAUUCCGCCUGGGGAGUACGGUCGCAAGAUUAAAACUCAA